GUGUGCGGAGCCGCUGACCCGUCAGACUGAGCGCGCGCAGGUGAGAUUUACUGAUUUAGACUUUUAAUGUUGUUUUAUUUUGUUGUUGUUGUUUACGUGUUUAACCGAACCCGAGUGUACCUGUCAGUGUCUGACAGCCGCCCCACCAGACUCCGUUUAUUAUUUAUAUAUAUAUAAUAAUUAUAAUAAUAAAGCCUCACAGCGGGACAGCACGCACACAUCGACGCCCUCACACACGUCAUCACGUACUGUCCGUUUAUACGGCUGCGUCAUAAUUAACGCCAAUUAACGCCUAAUAUUAAUUAAAGGUCAGACAACGCGGGACAGACCUGUUGACACCUUUCAGAUGCGCCCCCUCGCGGACAGAUUGUAUUACAGAGAGACAGACAGACAGACAGACAGACAGAGAGACAGACAGACAGAGAGGUAGACAGACAGAGAGACAGACAGAGAGGGAGACAGAGAGACAGACAGAGAGGGAGACAGAGAGACAGACAGAGAGGUAGACAGACAGAGAGGUAGACAGACAGACAGACAGACAGAGAGACAGACAGAGAGGGAGACAGAGAGACAGACAGAGAGACAGACAGAGAGGGAGACAGAGAGACAGACAGAGAGGGAGACAGACAGACAGACAGACAGAGAGACAGACAGACAGAGAGGUAGACAGAGAGACAGACAGACAGACAGAGAGGUAGACAGACAGACAGGCAGAGAGACAGACAGACAGACAGAGAGGUAGACAGACAGACAGAGAGGUAGACAGACAGACAGACAGAGAGGUAGACAGACAGACAGACAGAGAGGUAGACAGACAGACAGACAGAGAGGUAGACAGACAGACAGAGAGGUAGACAGACAGACAGACAGAGAGGUAGACAGACAGACAGACAGAGAGGUAGACAGACAGACAGACAGACAGAGAGGUAGACAGACAGAUAGACAGAGAGGUAGACAGACAGACAGACAGAGAGGUAGACAGACAGAUAGAUAUUCCUUUAUUUGUACCACAAUGGGGGAAUUCCAAUGUAACAGCAGCAGAGUGGAUAGAGAGAAAAAUAGUAUAAAAAACAGUAAGAGUAGGAAAAUAAUAAUAAUAAUAAUAAUAAUAAUAAUAAUAAGUCUACUGGGUUGUUAUACAGUCUGACAGCAGCAGGAAGGAAGGACCUACGAUAUCUCUCCGUCACACAUUUGGGGUGAAGGAGUCUGUCACUGAAGGAGCUGCUCAGUGUACUGAUGGUGUCCUGCAUGGGGGGGGAGACAUUGUCCAUCAGUGAUGAUAACUUUGCUAUUAUCCUCCUCUCUCCCACCACCUGUACUGAGUCGAGGGGGCAACCCAGGACAGAGCUGGUUUAUUAUAAUUAUUAUUAUAUUAUAAUUAAUAUUUCUGAUUAAGGUGAUAUUAUUACACUGUUUAAUAAACACAGUCUGUAGUUUCUAUAGAUACAUAUACAGUUAUAUAUGUAGAAAGUAAAUCAAUGAAUACAGUGAUUAGAAAUUAAAGGAAACAAACUGAUGUGAACUUCAGCUGAAUGUUUAUUAUUUAUUAAUUUGAUUUAUUCACAUUAUUGUUUUGCUGUUACAUUACGGUAAAUACAUAAAUAUGGAUUAAAAAACAUUAGAAAAAGAACUUAUUCCUAAAUCUGAAGAUUAAACAGUGAAUCAAUGAAGACCCUUGUGGUUCUAAGCCUAACCCCUGUGGUUCUAAUAAUACUUUAACAACUCCUAGAAAUCAGCCUUAAUAGGAAUGUACACAACAACAGCCUCCACCAGAACCACACAUUUAAAGGACUAAUUAAAUCCCAACUACUACUGCUACUACACAAACAGUGGACUUUAAAGAGGCCACUCAGACCCUCUUCAGGGCGUUAAAACCAGGGGAUACUCCAGGUCCUUCCUCACAUCCAAUCAGGAAAGUCUUCCUCACCACGAGACCAGAGGACAGGAGAAACAUCCUCCCAUUAAUCACCACCAGAGGGGUAUUGCACAAAACCAGGAUAAGGGAUUAACCCGGGAUAUGUUGGUUAUCCUGGCUGAAUUUAGCCUCAAGUCGGUUGCAUGAAAGCAGGUUAAACUUAUCCCGGCCAGGUUACUAUGGUGAUUUAUUCUCUGCAGUUAGCCUGCUCCAGACCAGGCUAACAGCCAGGCUAACAGCCAGGCUAACAUUAAUCCUAGUGAUUCUCCUGUAUUUCCACCGUCAAUCCUGUGAGGAAUUAAUGUGUUUUACAGCAUGUCCAUGGUCUUUCUAAGUAUAUUACAUCAUUUUAAUUAUCCUGCAUUAAAAUAUUACAUAUAUGUUGUAAUUUCUUAUUCCAUUUAAAUCUGUUGGCUGUUUGUAAUUGCAACAGUCUUUUUAUAUUGAUUCAAGUGGUAGU